CUCAAUCGUUGAUAAAAAAUAAUCCAACAGCUGAGAUCCAAGCACCUACUCUUUUUAUUUUUACCAAAAACAAAAACCCUAACCCUAUUUAUUUUUCACAAAAAGAUCCGCACAGUUCCUAUAUCUUUCUCUCUCUACCUCCCUUUUCUCUCUAAGCGCCAUUAACGCUGGCCAGACUGCCUCUUUUCCUUUUCGUCGCUGCUCCACCAACAAAAGCCAUCCAUCCCAUCCCAAAAGAAGUCAAUAUGGCUUUGCCAGCUACUGUCAUUUUCGAUGACCCACCAAUGCCGAUGCCAGCUAUGGUGCCACACUGCUCCUCCAUCACCGCCUAGAUCUGCCGGCGCCAUCACCAACAAAACCCCUAUCGCCGUCAGAGAAGAAAGCAAAACCAGCUGCUGCUUCGCCGUCUCCAACCUCCUUUCCCAUUGAUGAGCCUUACUGGAUGUGAGUACCGAUGGGCUUUUUGUUUUUAGCACCUCUUAUCCCACCAUCAACGCCACUAACGGUGCCUCACCGCCAACUGUCCCCUGUCGUCUCUCCUUUCUCCGCCACCAUGCAGCCAUGAUUUCAUUCAAUUUUCCUCACCGAAGGUAAUGACCGGUAUUGAAUGGUAACCUCUCCAACAAUGUUUGAUUUUCAGAUAUCAUCACAGGUUCGGACGCUAAGGUUUUUGACCGCACCUAGACCUCCCAGCGCAUCAGUAGUAGCAGCAAUGGCAAGUCCUCAUAUUCUGAGGACCGGUAAUGUUGUUUUAGUAUUUCAGUUCAGUAGUUAGUUGUAGUUAGUUGGGGCUUGUCUGAUCAACUCUCAUUCAAUCAAAUAUAGCGGCUUUUGGACAUUUUAGACAAUCAGUUAGUUGUCAAUUUUUAUCAGUUAGUUUUCAGCAUUUUCGCUUAUGUUUCAGAUUUGUGAAUUUUAGUUGUAUUUUUUUCAGUAUUGAAACUUUAUGGCA